GUAAUCUGUGAAUGGUUUUGUUUUUAUUAUUUUCAAAUUUGAUUUAACUGUUUAUCUUAUACGUUCAUUUAAUUCUUAAUACAUUCAUAAGUAUAUUCUUGGCUGAAAAGAAAGUUGUUUUCGCAAGAUAAUUGUCUGCAAGAUGAGAAGAUUAAUAUUUUCUUCGCGCAUAAAUAUUAUACUCUCACAACAUGUUGUACAGAGUAUUAUAGUUUUGUUCACAUAACGGUUGUUUGUGUCACCAAGAAAUAAAAGAGUUAGAUAUGGGGUUAUAUGUAUAUAUAUAAAUGAUCAGGAUGACGAGUGCAUUUGAAAUCUGGAUGUCUGUCCGUCCGUCCGUCCGUGCAAGCGAUAACUUGAGUAAAAAUGAGAUAUCUUAAUGAAACUUGGAACACAUGUUCCUUGGGACCGUGAGAGGAUUGCUUUCGAAAAUGGGCAAAAUCGGUCAACUGCCACGCCCAUAAAAUGGCGAAAACCAAAAACAUAAAGUGUCAUAACUAAGCCAUAAAUAAAGUUAUAAAAGUAAAAUUUGGAAUAAAGGAUCGCACUAGGAAGGGGCAUAUUCGGAUGUAAUUUUUUUUUGGGGAAGAGGGCGUGGCCCCGCCCCCAAAUCGGUUAUUUGUAUAUAUCUCGCAAACCAAUGAUGCUAUAUAAACCAAACUUUCUGCAGUCGAUUCUCUUACGUACCCCACACACCAUGAAAAUAGUUGAAAUCGGAUAAUAACCACGCCCACCUCCCAUACAAAGGUUAGGUUGAAAAUUACUAAAAGUGGGUUAACUCUACUAACUAACGAAAAACGUCACUAAAAAAACACUAAAUUUCACAUAAGAAAUGGCAGAUGGAAGGUGCACUCAGAUUUUUUUACAAAAUUGAAAAUGGGCGUGGCGUCGCCCACAUAUGGGUCAAAAACCAUAUCUCAGGAACUUCUCGACCGAUUUCAAUGAAACUUGGUUUGUAGUAGUUUCCUUACCUCCCAAUAAUAUGUUGUGAAAAUUGGCCAAAUUGCUUCACAACCGCGCCUACUUCCUAUAUACCAGAACUUUGAGGACGAUCUGAAUCGUUUACUUUACAAUAUAUAAAGUAAGUACUAGUGAAGAUAUCGGUGCAUAACUUUGCACAAAUAUUACGUUUAUAGUGUGGCAGCCGCAUUCAAAAAAUCGCCAAAAUCGGACCAUAGGUUUUCAAGGCCUCAUAUAUCGAACAUUAGGACCUCGGUGCUUCUAACCUAAUAUUAGGGUUUCCAACUUUCAAUGGACUGUGACAAAUAUGUGGGUCAAAUUGUGUAUUAUAUAAUAUUAAUUAAGUUAAAUAAAUAAAUUGCGAGAGUAUAAAAUGUUCGGUUACACCCGAACUUAGCCCUUCCUUACUUGUUUAGUUUUAAUUUCAACAAAUGUAUAAUAAUAAUUCAAUAUUACAAUGGCGUAAUAGGUUUUAGUGGAAUUAUUGUUAAAUUAAAAUAAUUUGGAUGCAAACAUUUUGUUUAUCAGCGUUUUUUAAAUAUUACUGAAACCUGAUCGGAUUUUCGAGUCUAAUGGAAUUCAUACACUUCCCAUUCACGCACUUUCAUUAGAUCUUGACUCAAUUAAACACACCUGUGCUACAUGAUUUCUACAGAGAAAUUAAAGCAAAAAUCGAUUAUUGAAUUUCUUUAUUUAUUUUAUGUAAUCAUUAAUGGAAUUUUUAUUAAGUUUUUAACAUUCUUGUUUGGAAUUUGAAAGUGUUGUGAGUUUCAUUUAAUAAUUCAUGACAUUAUCUAUAUUAAGUAUGUAUGUAUGUUUGUUUGGCCCAGUCGUUUAUUAGAAAUAUUUCUUUUCUUCAAAAUUCGAGAAUUUCCAUGUUUCGUUUGGUUCCAAAUACAACAACCAUAAAUAUUCGCAGACGAAUACGUAAUAAGUUUUAAGCAAAAUUUUGCCAAAUGUAAAACUUUAAAUAACAAUCGACUGGACACUACACGUCUACUGAAUUAAAGCCUUGUCUUCGUGUUUCGUGUGUGAUUUGUGUGCUUUGUUUUGCUUAAUACAUUUAAAUGCAUAACUGACUUUCUAUAUAAUCAUCAUUAACGUCCUUCUGCAGUUCUGCCUUCACUUAACCUAAUUGCUUUAAAUUCUCAAUAUAUUUUAGUGAGUUUUUUUUGUUUUUAUGUGUUAAUACGCACCAGAAUUUACCAUAUGUUUGGUAUUUGGCAACUCUUUUUUAAACUACAAACAACAAAAUACAUGGAAUGCUUAGGCGGUAAAUAUUGAUAACAGAUCAUAAAAUUUGGCACAUUCGAAUUAAUACAACGAUUUUGAUUGGAAAUUUUGAUAUCCGUUAAUUAAUUUCAAAUAUCGCUUAGACACUUUAGCACACAAAUAUUAAAAUUCAUAACAUUUCAAAUGAAAAAAAAAACUUAUUUUUUAAGGAAGAAAUGUUUUCAUCAUCACAACAAGUAUAUCAACAUACACUUAAGUAUAGUACAUUAAAUAUUACGCAAAUUUUCAGUUUCAUAUAACUACAUCCAUACAUUUAUACAUCGAUGUCUACUCAGGUUGAAAGUAAGUAAUUUGAAAACUUAACGAUAUAACAUGUUUCCAUUCCAAAUAAAUAUAUGACGAUACCACUCUAUAUUUUCACUUCGAAAAUGAAAAAUAGAUUAAAGCAUUUGACACAACCUACUAACAAAUUGCGGCAAGAUUUGACUCAAGAAAGUUGUUCGAAAAUCUUAUAAAUUUGUUCAAUACAUUUAUGUAUCUCAAGCUUAGAAACAACACGAGAGCACACAUAAUACAAACACCCCUAUGCUGUGCAGUUUACAAAUUCAACAAAUAUUUAUAAUUUAUCAAGAUUGGAAAAUUAUUAUCUACUUCGUAUUCUAAAUAAAAAGCUCCUCUCUUGAUAAAGUAUUAAGAUGUCAAAAUGUUCUUCACAGUGCUCUUGAGUACAAUAUCUAAUCGUGCAUCUUGUGCCAAUAGUUGAUUUUUUACUUUUGUUUUUAUUGUUGAACGGAAAUAAAAGUUGUGAUUUAAAAAGUAUACGCGACGCUAGCAAUCCAUUUUCAUUUCAUUUUUAACGAAUUAAUAAUUGGAACAGAAAUAUCAGCUGUUUCUGUUUACAUUAUUUUAUUCAUCACACCUGUGGGGAAAAACUCUGCGUAGUGAAGCUUUGUAUUUUAUCAAGAUUGUCACUGAAUAUAACAACGGAAAAGUUUAAUGUAUUAAUGUAUUAAACUUUUCGAUAAAUUUUGCAAAUUAUUUCCAUUUUAUUAAAGAAAGAUGUGAAAAUGACUAUAGCUUUUUAUUUUUCACCAAACAGAUGUGGCAAAAUUUGACAGAUUUACAAACUCGCUGCUCCCGGAAUGUUUAUUCUUGACUUUCAAAUACAAUUGAGAAAUGACGUUCUCAAAACGAUUCCAAAUAAAUUUUCGUGAUGAGGCGAAUAUCGAAUUUAAAUAUUGUGGUAACAAUCACGACACCAAGACCGUAGGUGUAGUUUUUCACAAUAUCUCUUACAUAUAUAAAUAAAUAUGCAUAUAUGUGACCUGGUCUACGAAAAGGGAACUAAUGUGCGAAAACUAGUUUUCUGGGAAACAGCUGUUAAAAAUAAACAUCAUCUCAUCUUCCAUCCGAAUCAACUAAAAAGUGAAAAUUAAUUUUUUUACACCUAAGCCCCCUUUCCGUAGACCAGGUCACAUAUAUAAAAUAUUUAAAAUUUCAUCUAUCAAUAUUCUCGCGUUUUUUUAUAAAUAAAUAUUCUAAAUUUAAAGUAAGCAACAUACAAAAUAAAAACAAUUUCAAGAGUAGGUUACAAUAGUUCCUAACGUCAUAAUUGCUGUCAUUGUAAUUUCUCUCAAUUUUACUAGGAAGCACGUUACUAUUUUCUUGCUUAAGCCUCAGAUGUUGCGUUACCCUGCUGGAAGAAUGACAACGGUGUCAAUAUGUCCAAAGAAAUAUGACACGAUAUUUUGACAAGAACGGAGUCGGCGUUUUCAACAACAACAAUUAACAAUUUUUGUUUAAAAUAUAAUAUAAAAGCAUUUUACAAAUUAUUUCACACAAAUAAUUUCAUGUUUUUAAACGAUGAACAACUGAUCUGUAAUGGUGAGACCGUACGGUCUGCUAUGAAAAAUAAUUUAAGAUGUGAUACUCUAAAAUUCGAAUGUAAAAAAUAAGAAAAGUGCGAAAAAUUUUAAAUUCUUACCAAUUUUCAGAUGAUUUCUUAGAUUUGUGAUACUUUGUAUAGUUUCUUACGGUUUUAAAAGGUUCAAUAUUUGGGUAAUUAAAUAAUUUACAAAUACAAUAAAACUAUCCUCGACUCAUCUACAUAUGCAAUAAAUAAACAAAUUUGGAUUUUAUAUGUAUCUGAUUUGUUGAAUUCGUCUUCCGCCCCGGCUAAGCUAAAAUAUAGAAACAAUUUCGAGCUAGUUUAAACUAUUUCACCUAGCUUUUGAUAUAGUUAGGCUGAAUUUUUGACAUAUUACUUGAUAAACAUUUUUUUUUUUGGAACACAUUGACCUACCGUCGUAACGCAUACCUGCUCAAUCCAAUCUCAACUUAAUCUGGUAGUGCCGUAGUAUCUUAAGAAGUGUAGCAGUGAACACGUUCUCAAAAUGUAUAAUCAUCGUGUUUCUAUAAUUUCAAUACUUGACCUCUUAAAUCGAAUAUACAUAUUAUUAGCAAAUUUGUGUGUGUGUAUGUGUGUGUGUGUGUGUGUGUGCGUGUGUAAAUAAGUUACUUUAUAUUCAUUUAGCUAUCUUAAAUGUUUUCAA